rnacentral:lncRNA from 1 species
ACGGUCAGAUCCCUCCCAACACUCUAAGCAGACUCUCUUCUCUUACUGUCCUCAGCCUCAGAUCCAAUAGAAUCUCAGGCCUAUUCCCUGGAGACUUCGCCGAGCUGAAAGACUUGGCCUUCCUUUACCUUCAGGACAACGACUUCUCCGGUCCGUUGCCUCAGGAUUUCUCUGUCUGGAAGAAUCUCACCAGCGUCAAUCUCUCUAACAAUGACUUCAACGGAACGGUUCCUGGUUCUUUGUCGAGGCUUGGGCGUGUGCAGUCGUUGAAUCUCGCUAAUAAUUCGCUUUCUGGCGACAUUCCUGAUCUAAGCGGUGUGUCUACUCUGCAGCAUAUUGAUUUGUCUUACAACAAUCUCAAUGGGCCUAUACCGAGUUGGCUUCAGAGGUUCCCUACGUCGUCUUAUCAAGGCGUUGGCGGAUUCUCUCUCGUGCAGCCACCUCCCGACUUGGCUCAUCACGAGCUUAAACCUCGUCAGAAACCUAAACCUCACUUCUUGGGACUAACCAAGACUGUUUUCUUGCUGAUAGUCAUCGCUGUCUCCAUUGUGCUACUAGCGGUUUUAGUCUUUGUGUUAGCUGUUUGUUACUUGAGGAUGAAACUAAGCCAAGGCGAUGGGAUUAUAACAGACGCCAAGCUGCAGAAGAAAGGUGGUAUGUCUCCUGAGAAGUUCGUGUCGAGGAUGGAAGAUGUGAACAACAGGUUGUCUUUCUUUGAAGGGUGUAACUACUCGUUUGAUCUCGAGGAUCUUCUGAGAGCUUCCGCUGAGGUUCUUGGUAAAGGCACGUUUGGGACGACGUACAAAGCGGUUCUUGAGGAUGCGACUUCUGUCGCUGUGAAACGUCUCAAGGACGUUGCGGCUGGGAAACGCGAUUUCGAGCAGCAGAUGGAGAUUAUUGGAGGGAUUAAGCACGAGAAUGUUGUGGAGCUUAAGGCUUAUUAUUACUCUAAAGAUGAGAAGCUUAUGGUUUAUGAUUACUUCGGUAAUGGGAGUGUGGCUUCUUUGCUUCACGGUACGUUUUCAAUUUAUGAUCUAACCGUGCGUCAUAACUACAGUGCAAUGGUUAGACCAGGGCUGUCUAAUAGUAUGUGCAAGUGAAACAGUUCAUACAGGGCAGGAGUUUUAAAAAAUAAAUAUAUAAAUUAUGUGCUAAAAUUUUAUUUUUGUUAAAUUUAUAGCUUAUAAUUUCAAAUUUUUUUUUUUUUUAAUUUUAGAAAUAUUGUUAAAUUUUAUAGUUUAUAGUUUCAAAAGAAACAUUAAACAUAUAGAAAGAGCUAUUAAUUUGUAAAACUAUUUUAUUAUAUUGUUGAUAAAACUGUUAAUAUUUUGGCCGGUAAAUAAUUGGAGACGGCACGGACUCACUUUCUACGUAGUGUUCUCAUGGACUUGCCGUUGGAUUGUGCAGGUAACAGAGGCGAAAACAGAGUUCCAUUGGACUGGGAGACAAGAAUGAGUAUUGCCAUUGGUGCAGCUAAAGGGAUAGCUCGUAUCCACCAAGAGAACAAUGGGAAGCUCGUCCAUGGCAACAUCAAAUCUUCAAACAUAUUCUUGAACUCAGAGCGUAAUGGCUGCGUGUCUGAUCUCGGUUUAACCGCGGUGAUGAGCGCCUUGGCUCCACCUAUCUCGAGGCAAGCUGGUUACCGUGCGCCAGAGGUAACCGACACAAGGAAGUCAUCUCAACUCUCAGAUGUUUACAGUUUCGGCGUCGUACUGCUCGAACUCCUCACCGGAAAGUCUCCCAUUCACACUACCGCAGGUAAAGACCAUGAUACUAUUAUAUACAUGUUCGGUUAAGGAUGAUUUCGGUUUAAUGAUGGACAUUUGCAGGAGAUGAGAUUAUACAUUUGGUUCGGUGGGUACAUUCGGUAGUGAGAGAGGAGUGGACUGCAGAGGUGUUCGACGUGGAGCUUCUAAGGUAUACGAACAUAGAGGAAGAGAUGGUUGAGAUGUUGCAGAUUGCAAUGUCGUGUGUUGUCAAAGCACCGGACCAGAGACCUAAGAUGUCUGAUUUGGUUAGGCUUAUUGAGAGUGUCGGAAACCGACAAGCCAGUCUUGGGCCUGAGCCUAAGCCCAAGUCCGAAAACGAAGCCUCCGAGACUUCCACGCCGGGUGAAAUUUGAAUCUAUGCAAAUUGAAAUCGUUGAUUUUUAACUUCAUUAAGUUUGUAUACUCAUGUUGAUUCUCUUCUCCGGUUAGAACCGGUUAUCAAACACAUUUCUAUUUAGGGGGGACUCUGGUGUUUUCAUGCAAAAUAGAUUUGAAUUUUCAAAUUGAAGAAAAAUGAAUCUUGUAUGUUUUCAUCAAGCACCUUGGUUAUUGCAAACAAAAUUAAAGAACACAUUCUAUUAGACAAGGGUGAGGAGCUGGAAGAGAGUGGGCUUAGGAUCUGAGUUCAUACCCGACGAAGAUGUGAGAGGAAUGAAGCCGAAGUGAUCAUCCCCCGAUCAUCUCGUUUGAUUUAUCGCCAAAGCCUCUAAAUUGUAGUAUAUGACAUACUGGGCUUUAGAGCCCAAAAUAGUCCCAUUGGGUCUACGUGGCUAUAGCCUGCGGGUGCAGAUUGUGUGAGUAAGAAAUAUUGGGUUUAUUGGCACAAUUUAUUUUAGAGUCCUAGACUGUUAUUUCCUAUUGGUAACGAAUUUUGCUUUAGACAUUAACUUUAAAAUUUGAAAAAUUUGCCAAAACACCACCAAAAAACAACUACAUUGUCCAUUUACCAUAAAUCUUUUUUUUGGUCGGAUUUAGACUUAGAUACCUCUGGCCAACUUCAAAAUUCAUAUCAAUUAUUUUAAAACUCAGAAAAAUAUGAAAAAUUAUUCAAAAUUUACAUAAACAUGAAACAAUCAUAUGAAAAAUUAUUUGGUUGACUAAAUAUUAGUGAAACACAAUUUCAUAUUUUGAUAUACAUAUAGCAGAAAACAAAAUCUACUAACUACAGACAUGUAGAUCGUAGUUUCGGUUAACUACAUAGAUAUCUGGCGCUUAUAUAUUUUAAAAUCUACGAUUUGGUAAUCUGUCUACUACCGCAGAAAGAAAAGAUUACGGUUUUGCUUACGAUCUGAACGACGAAAGAUUUCAUGAACUACUAUUUCCUAUAUAUCUACUGGCUCGGAAUCACAGAAUCUGCCAGUUACUAAUAAUCUAUCGUGGUAAUAUUUCGUUAUCUACUAAGAUACUAUAUCCUAUCUCUGCCGGAUUAUACAUUCUACCGUCGUAUCUACCAUCAUAUAUACAAUCUCCUGGCAGCAGAAUGCAUGUUCUGCCAAAUUCGUAAUCUUUUGGAAAAUAUUCCUUAAAUCUCUCCAAAAUCUGUUGAAAAAUAUUAUGUAAAUCUUUAUUUUCUCAAAUUUUACGUGUUUCCUAAAGUUAUUUUUUUUUUUAAAUAAUUGUGAUCUCUCUUCCUCUUCACAAUUUCUUGAUUAAUUUUGAAACCACCCCAAAAAUUUGAAUCCCUUGUUGCUUAUGUGAUGUCUGGUGGUGGCAUAACCUUCAAGAAAUUCAAGCCAACGAUUAGGAGCAAGCGUUGCUUUCUCCUGUUCCCUGUUCAAGGCUCUGAGAGAAAGGGGCUCGUUAGCGUUGAAGUCAAGAAGAAGAAAGGCCAGGUAACAGAUAUAGAUAGGUCUUUUAUCUCUAGCCUAGGAAUGAGUGUAGCAGAUUGGAGCUGUUGUGAGUUGAUUAGAGAGUGGUUAGCAAUGGCAUUAGCAGAUUCAUUGAUCUUCUUGUUUGUUUCUUCAGUAUGACAUGAAGCUUUUGGCGGUGGACAUCCCCAUGGCGUCUGGUCCUGACCAACGGUUGUAUCUGAUUGGAGAUGAAGAAGGGUACAAAGUCGGUGGCGGUUUGAUCUCUGAGCUAAGAGACCCUGUUGUGAAAGCCAUGGCAGCGACUAAGGAGUUCGAUAAUCUUGACAGAAUUGAAGAGGAAGAAGAUGCUGAAAGAGAGCUUCAAGAAGCUGAAAGAAAGCACCGUGAGGAGAUUGAGAAGCUCGAAAAAGAGAGCUCUUAAAAUUCGUUUUUAUUUCCCUGGACUACUUGAACAACAACAGCUUGUAUCACCAAAGACUCUCUUUUGUCUUGUAUCAGAGUAUGCUACACUGAUCUGUGAUCUACAUUGAUGUAGAAUGAGUAGCAAUGGACUACUACUCUCUGAACCAUUUGCUGAGCUAUAAAUCAACAAUCAAUUCAUUGCAUAUCAAAACACCGUCGCAAACGCAGAUCCAAUCCAAGACAAACGCGCAUUACUCGAGUUCCUAACCCUCAUGCGUCCCACGCGCUCACUCAACUGGAACGAGACCACUUCCGUCUGCAACGCAUGGACCGGAGUCACUUGCAACAAAGACGGAUCUCGCAUCACAGCCGUUAGAUUGCCUGGAGUUGGACUCAACGGUCAGAUCCCUCCCAACACUCUAAGCAGACUCUCUUCUCUUACUGUCCUCAGCCUCAGAUCCAAUAGAAUCUCAGGCCUAUUCCCUGGAGACUUCGCCGAGCUGAAAGACUUGGCCUUCCUUUACCUUCAGGACAACGACUUCUCCGGUCCGUUGCCUCAGGAUUUCUCUGUCUGGAAGAAUCUCACCAGCGUCAAUCUCUCUAACAAUGACUUCAACGGAACGGUUCCUGGUUCUUUGUCGAGGCUUG